UGGGGAAUUUUGGACAAUGGGGGAAACCCUGAUCCAGCCAUCCCGCGUGUGCGAUGAAGGCCUUCGGGUUGUAAAGCACUUUUGGCAGGAAAGAAACGUCGCGGGUUAAUACCCCGCGAAACUGACGGUACCUGCAGAAUAAGCACCGGCUAACUACGUGCCAGCAGCCGCGGUAAUACGUAGGGUGCAAGCGUUAAUCGGAAUUACUGGGCGUAAAGCGUGCGCAGGCGGUUCGGAAAGAAAGAUGUGAAAUCCCAGAGCUUAACUUUGGAACUGCAUUUUUAACUACCGGGCUAGAGUGUGUCAGAGGGAGGUGGAAUUCCGCGUGUAGCAGUGAAAUGCGUAGAUAUGCGGAGGAACACCGAUAGCGAAGGCAGCCUCCUGGGAUAACACUGACGCUCAUGCACGAAAGCGUGGGGAGCAAACAGGAUUAGAUACCCUGGUAGUCCACGCCCUAAACGAUGUCAACUAGCUGUUGGGGCCUUCGGGCCUUGGUAGCGCAGCUAACGCGUGAAGUUGACCGCCUGGGGAGUACGGUCGCAAGAUUAAAACUCAAAUGAAUUGAC
rnacentral:rRNA from 1 species